rnacentral:rRNA from 1 species
UACAGACGGCGCAAGCGUUAUCCGGAUGAUUGGGCGUAAAGCGUCUGUAGGUGGUUCGCGAAGUCUACUGUCAAAUCCCAGGGCUCAACCUUGGACAGGCAGUGGAGAACUCGCGGACUAGAGUACGGUAGGGGUAGAGGGAAUUCCCGGUAGAAGCGGUGAAAUGCGUAGAGAUCGGAAAGAACACCAACGGCGAAAGCACUCUGCUGGGCCGACACUGACACUGAGAGACGAAAGCUAGGGGAGCGAAUGGG